ACUGUCUGGCUGGGAUGGGGGACGUGGAGUAGAAGUGGCACGAGGACACUGUCUGGCUGGGGUGGGGGACGUGGAGUAGAAGUGGCACGAGGACACUGUCUGGCUGGGGUGGGGGACGUGGGGUAGAAGUGGCACGAGGACACUGUCUGGCUGGGGUGGGGGACGUGGAGUAGAAGUGGCACGAGGACACUGUCUGGCUGGGGAGGGGGACGUGGAGUAGAAGUGGCACGAGGACACUGGCUGGCUGGGGUGGGGGACGUGGAGUAGAAGUGGCACGAGGACACUGUCUGGCUGGGGAGGGGGACGUGGAGUAGAAGUGGCACGAGGACACUGGCUGGCUGGGGUGGGGGACAUGGAGUAGAAGUGGCACGAGGACACUGGCUGGCUGGGGUGGGGGACGUGGAGUAGAAGUAGCACGAGGACACUGUCUGGCUGGGGAGGGGGACGUGGAGUAGAAGUGGCACGAGGACACUGGCUGGCUGGGGUGAUGCAAAAGUUCUGUACCUUGACUGAGGUGGUGGCUAUGUUGGUGCAUAAAUUUGUCAAAACUCAAUGAAUUCUAUGCUUAAAUUGGGUUAUUUUAUUAAACUGUGCCUCAGAAAAAGCUGAUUUAAAAAUUAACACUAUUUUGGCUACAUAAAUUAAAAUGUAGGUUACUGACAACCAAACCACAACAGUCAUCAACCAAAAUCUUCUUAAUGCUUCCCCUUUCAACAUUUCCCACAAGGCUGCGGGGCU
rnacentral:lncRNA from 10 species